rnacentral:misc_RNA from 1 species
GUGGGAGCCGGGCUUGCCCGCGAUGACGGCGUGUCAGCAGAGACAUAUCUCACUGAUCCACCGCCAUCGCGGGCAAGCCCGGCUCCCAC